GAUGAACGCUGGCGGCGUGCCUAAUACAUGCAAGUCGAGCGAACAGAUAAGGAGCUUGCUCCUUUGCCGUUAGCGGCGGACGGGUGAGUAACACGUGGGUAACCUACCUAUAAGACUGGGAUAACUUCGGGAAACCGGAGCUAAUACCGGAUAACAUUUGGAACCGCAUGGUUCUAAAGUGAACGCUGGUUUUGCUAUCACUUAUAGAUGGACCCGCGCCGUAUUAGCUAGUUGGUAAGGUAACGGCUUACCAAGGCGACGAUACGUAGCCGACCUGAGAGGAUGAUCGGCCACACUGGAACUGAGACACGGUCCAGACUCCUACGGGAGGCAGCAGUAGGGAAUCUUCGGCAAUGGGCGAAAGCCUGACGGAGCAACGCCGCGUGAGUGAUGAAGGGUUUCGGCUUGUAAAACUCUUUUAGUAGGGAAGAACAAAUGUGUAAGUAUCUGUGCACGUCUUGACGGUACCUAAAGAGAAAGCAACGGCUAACUACGUG
rnacentral:rRNA from 1 species